AGGAGGAGAUUGAUGAAGAUUAUAAAGGGGAAAAAGAUAUGGGUGAGAGUAGCAGUUCGAUGUCAGCUUACCGUAGACAGCAAUUUCAAAACCAGCAUCAAGAUUUGAAUGUUAACAGUAGCAGACCCAACAAUGGGUAUUUUGAGUGAAAGGAUUUAUUACUUGGUAGCUAUUAGGGUAUGUACGUAGGGACAUGAGAAUUGAUUUCUAACUUGGUAAGCCUUUUAGUUUCAGUUUCACUUUAUGUUUCAACUAAGGUUUUAGGUAUCUUUGGCUGUGGAACCUAUGGUAGCUCGCCCGCAGAUUUCUCUAGAUUCCUAGUAUAUAUUAUAUGACAUAUUACCCCCACUUGCACAA
rnacentral:misc_RNA from 1 species